rnacentral:rRNA from 1 species
UCCAGACUCCUACGGGAGGCAGCAGUCGGGAAUAUUGCGCAAUGGAGGAAACUCUGACGCAGUGACGCCGCGUAUAGGAAGAAGGUUUUCGGAUUGUAAACUAUUGUCGUUAGGGAAGAUAAAAGACUGUACCUAAGGAGGAAGCUCCGGCUAACUACGUGCCAGCAGCCGCGGUAAUACGUAGGGAGCAAGCGUUAUCCGGAUUUACUGGGUGUAAAGGGCGUGUAGGCGGGCUUGUAAGUCAGAAGUGAAAUCUGGGGGCUUAACCCCCAAACUGCUUUUGAAACUGCGGGUCUUGAGUGAUGGAGAGGCAGGCGGAAUUCCCAGUGUAGCGGUGAAAUGCGUAGAUAUUGGGAGGAACACCAGUGGCGAAGGCGGCCUGCUGGACAUUAACUGACGCUGAGGCGCGAAAGCGUGGGGAGCAAACAGGAUUAGAUACCCCCGUAACC